UGCAGGGCUGGAUCAAGUGGAGGGUGAGUACAUGAUGACAGUUUUCAUUCUGGAAGAAAACCAUUCCUUUACAGAUAAAUCUGUUUCUCUACACAUCUGCAGCAUGUAUUGUGUGCUCAGAGAGUUAAUCUCAUGCACACUGUGUGUUUAGUGAGGUACUUACAACAUGAGGAUUGCCUUUUGAUUUGAUUUAUAGUUUUUUUUUUUUUUUUUUUUUAGUUGGUGAAUUACACUUAAUUAUUUGAUGUUUGUUUUGUGUGGCAUUCCUUUUUUUUUUUUAAAGAUUACCCGUUUAAUUAAUUGGCGAAUUUGACAACAUGUUUAUUUUUAUUUCACAAAUUUAAGUCAUUAUUAAAGUACUUCUAAAACACAUUGGUGUCUGUAAUGUUGUGUAUUGUGUUAAAGAUCCUGUACUCUUUAACCACCUCAGUCUUAGUAAUGCAGCAUAGGGACAUGUCUGUGUGUUGUGUAUGGGGUCACGUACCUGUAAAACACAUUGGUCCCUGUAAUCCAGAGAAUGGACAUGUUUUGUGUAUUGUAAAACGAGUGUCCUCAUAAAUCAAUCGGACCCUAUAAAUACCAAUUAUGUAAUGGGCGGGAACAUUAUAGGAGGGGCGUGACAGUCCUUGUGUACCACCAAAAUAUCAUAUUGUCAUAUUAUCAAUUCUAUUGUGUGUAAAGAAAAUCCAAAGUGAUAUUUGUGUUCUGCAGAGUACAACAAAUUUUUUGAUAGUUUUAUCAUCUCUGUAGGACACCGGGAAAGGGGUGUCCCCUUAAACCACCAUCCAACUGGUUUGGCCAUCAGAGUACUGCUAAACCACAAAAACCAGUGUCGGAAGAGCAACUGAUGACUCUGUGGCGAGUUCUGAGCAGACAGUAAGACAGUAUUGCACACAGUAAGAAACAUAUCCAAAAAGAACAAGGUGAGCAAAUACUUCUUGAUCUUUCAUCAAUGUCCACCUUCCCUCAACAUGAGCUGUAUUACUUUUAUUCUUAUAUAAAUCUGUCUUGAAUUAGGCUCAAACCUCAUGCUGUAAUAAUUCUGGGUUGAAACAGCAACUGUGAUGUUGAUUCAGGUUCACUGUGAUGAUAAAGUGACUAACCCUUCCAUCAGAGGAAAAAAAGCCGGAGUCAAGAAAACUACAGUCAACUUUAUGCCUCUGUGAACAGGAACCAUCACAAAUCAGCCAAAUUAUUAUACAAAACCACAUAUGCAGAGGAAUAUGAACCUUGUCUCCUGAUGGUUUCAUUCAGUGCCAUCAUGAUAAUAGCAAUGUCUUUUAUGUAUUAAGAAACAAGCUCUGAUUUAUUUGUAGUUAUUUGAUAUUCUUGUCAGUUUGCUUUGCUUUUCAGCAAUUAAAUUGGAUAAAAUCAUGAAAAUGUGUUGUUCAAAAGAAAAAAAAAGGAUUGUGAGAUCAGAUUAGAUCACAAAACCAGUCUUGGUUUUGAUCAGGAUCAAAUCAUCAGUGUGUGUUGUGCAAAUCAUUUUAGCAAGAUUGAGAUCCCGAUUUGGUCAUAUGAAAAAGUCUGUAUCUGGAUCAUUGUCAUCCAAUCCAAUUUUGCUUUGAAAAACCAGUAGAAUAUAACACAAUUACCUGAUCUUGCAUAUAAAAAAUAUGGGAUUUCCAAAACCGUUAACAGGCAAAGCUACAUGAUGAUAUAAGUGUUUAUCCCAAUGUG